CCAAGCGUUUCUUCAAAAUUCUGACCAAAAACCCUAAGUAAAUUAAACGAAAAUAUAAAAUGAAUUUUUCAAACAAAUAUUUUAAGUCGGUAUGAGAAAUUUUAAUUUAACAGAUGAAAUCAAAUAAACACAAUUCAACUCGUAAAAUAUUUAGACCCUUGCUUGGUAAUCCAGCUGAACAGGCACCCAGGAGAAGGGCAUGGCUCUAACCCUGAAUAAUGAGCAUUAGGUACAGAAAAUUAACAGUUCCCCAGGCAACCAUCCACUGAAAAUCUUAGAAGAAUAAUAGAGCCCCAAGGCAACCAUAAGAGUAAUUGUCGACAUUACCGCAGUUCAUCAGGUAACCGCAUAUUGUCUUAUUUGGACCUACCAUCUGACCCCUACUGAAGAAGAUCAUAAAUAACUCAAGACAGCACCUUAAGAAGCCUUCAGACCAUCAGCUAAGAUCCUUAAUAAAAUAUAUAGCUGGCCUGUAAACAUAAACAGACUAUUUUUAUAUAAAGUAACAUCAUAAAUUCUAAAAUGUAGAUCUUGAAUUGUGACCAUAAUAAAAUGAGAAAAUAAAGCAUUUAUACUGAA